AUGGACAAUGAGUUCGGUAAGGGGGUGGGAAACCAGGCGAAGCUCUUGUACCGUCGUCUCGUCGGCCAACGGCCUCAUCUUCUCGCCGUCACGCUGCUCCUCGUCGUGUCUUCGCUGGUGGUAAUGACCAUGCUGUCCCUGCUGUCACUUGACGGCGUGUAUGCCCUUUUGCAUGGCGCACAUGGUAUCAUGGCCGUGUCUGUAGCAGGCGCAGUGGCGGCUGCCUACGUUUACGCCUUGUCGUUGCGGCCGGUGUACCUGGUGGACUUCGCCGGCUACAAGCCUGCGCCGGCGCAGGAGUUGACCCGCGCCCGCACCAUCCACCGCUACGGACUAAGUGGUGUGUUCACCGCAGAGAGCAUGAAUUUCCAGAAGAGGAUUCUGGAGAGGUCAGGGCUCGGCGACGCGACGCACCUCCCUGCAUCCAUCAUCAGGGUGCCGCUCGACAUAUGCCUCCGCACGGCGAACGAGGAGUCCCAUGCCGUCGUAUUCAGUGUCAUCGACGACCUGCUGGCGAAGACCCGCGUCCGGCCGGACGACAUCGGUGUGGUCAUCGUGAACUCCAGCCUCUACAGCCCCACGCCGUCCUUCACCUCGCUCGUGAUGAACCGCUACUGCUUGCGCGACGAUGUCGUCACCCACAACCUUAGCGGCAUGGGCUGCAGCGCCGGCGUCAUCGCUAUUGACCUCGCCAGACAGCUGCUUCAGGUGUACCACGACACAUACGCACUGGUUGUCAGCACGGAGAAUAUCACCCUAAACGCGUACUUGGGCAACAACCGGCCCAUGUUGGUGACCAACAUGCUGUUUCGGACGGGCGGCGCGGCAGUUCUUCUGUCGAACCGCUGCAACGAGUGGCGACGCGCCAAGUACCAGCUGAUCCAUACGGUGCGCACGCACCAUGGCCCCAGCGACAAGAGCUACGCGUGCGUGACGCAGGAGGAAGACGAGGUCGGGAACUUGGGCGUGUCACUCUCCAAGGAUCUCAUGUCCGUGGCCGGCGACGCGCUCCGCAGCAACAUCACCACCCUUGGGCCCCUUGUUCUGCCGCUACGUGAGCAGCUCCGGUUCCUUGGCGCCGUCGUGCUCAAACGGGUGUUCGGUACUACAGUGAUGUCGUGCCUCCCCGACUUCACUCUGGCACUGGAGCACUUCUGCAUCCACGCAGGGGGGCGAGGCGUGCUGGACGAGCUGCAGAAAAGCCUGAAGCUGGGUGAGUGGCACAUGGAACCAUCGAGGAUGACCCUCUGCAGGUUCGGCAACACGUCGAGCAGCUCGCUGUGGUACGAGCUCGCCUACUGCGAGGCCAAGGGCAGGAUCAAGAGGGGAGACCGCGUGUGGCAGAUCGCGUUUGGCUCCGGGUUCAAAUGCAACAGCGCGGUGUGGAAGGCGCUCAGGACGGUCGAGGGCGCCGCUGCCGUGGAGGAGGGAAGCCCCUGGGCACAAGACAUCGACGUUCUUCCGGUCCAUGUGCCCAAGGUGAUGCCCAUCGAUGAGGAUGCGUCGUAUGUACCAGCUGCGUAG
rnacentral:rRNA from 1 species